rnacentral:rRNA from 1 species
GUCGAACGAAACUUUCUUACACCGAAUGCUUGCAUUCACCGUAAGAAGUUGAGUGGCGGACGGGUGAGUAACACGUGGGUAACCUGCCUAAAAGAAGGGGAUAACACUUGGAAACAGGUGCUAAUACCGUAUAUCUCUAAGGAUCGCAUGAUCCUUAGAUGAAAGAUGGUUCUGCUAUCGCUUUUAGAUGGACCCGCGGCGUAUUAACUAGUUGGUGGGGUAACGGCCUACCAAGGUGAUGAUACGUAGCCAAACUGAGAGGUUGAUCGGCCACAUUGGGACUGAGACACGGCCCAAACUCCUACGGGAGGCAGCAGUAGGGAAUCUUCCACAAUGGACGCAAGUCUGAUGGAGCAACGCCGCGUGAGUGAAGAAGGUCUUCGGAUCGUAAAACUCUGUUGUUAGAGAAGAACACGAGUGAGAGUAACUGUUCAUUCGAUGACGGUAUCUAACCAGCAAGUCACGGCUAACUACGUGCCAGCAGCCGCGGUAAUACGUAGGUGGCAAGCGUUGUCCGGAUUUAUUGGGCGUAAAGGGAACGCAGGCGGUCUUUUAAGUCUGAUGUGAAAGCCUUCGGCUUAACCGGAGUAGUGCAUUGGAAACUGGAAGACUUGAGUGCAGAAGAGGAGAGUGGAACUCCAUGUGUAGCGGUGAAAUGCGUAGAUAUAGGGAAGAACACCAGUGGCGAAAGCGGCUCUCUGGUCUGUAACUGACGCUGAGGUUCGAAAGCGUGGGUAGCAAACAGGAUUAGAU